CUCUCUCUCUCUCUCUCUCUCUCUCUCUCUCUCUCACAAUCAAAACCCUAAUACCCGAUCGCAAAAACCUUGAAAUCCUCUUUGUUUUCGUUCCAAGUCCGUAUGAUUGUUAAUUGGAAUCAUAUUUCUAGGAUCCGAUCGUUGUGAAUAGUGACCAAAAGCCCUACUUUUUUACUUUUUACUCUUCGAUUUCGAGGUCUCUGACUCUUCGAUCGAUUCUCAGUUUUUGAGGAUUUGAUCGGUUUCUCCAAGCGGUUUCGGUUCGUGAAAUGCUUUUGAUUCCAAGAUGAAGUUGAAGAGGAGGAGAGCAUUGGAAGUGCCUCCAAAAAUUAGAUCCUUCAUCGAUAGUGUCACUGCUGUUCCACUCGAGAAUAUAGAAGAACCCCUCAAAGGCUUUGUUUGGGAGUUUGAUAAGGGAGAUUUCCAUCAUUGGGUGGAUCUUUUUAAUCAUUUUGAUUCAUUUUUUGAGAAGCACAUCAAAGGGAGGAAGGAUUUGCAGGUUGAGGAUAAUUUUCUGGAUUCUGAUCCUCCCUUCCCAAGAGAAGCCAUUAUUCAAAUUCUCCGUGUUAUAAGAAUAAUAUUGGAGAAUUGCACAAAUAAGCACUUCUAUAGUUCUUACGAGCAGCAUCUUUCUUUACUGCUUGCUUCAACCGAUCCGGAUGUUAUUGAAGCUUGCCUGCAGACUUUGGCUGCUUUUUUGAAAAAAACGAUUGGCAAGUACUCCAUCAGAGAUGCUUCUCUGAAUUCAAAGUUAUUUACUCUUGCACAAGGUUGGGGGGGGAAGGAAGAGGGGCUUGGAUUAAUUGCAACUGCUGUGCAUGACGGUUGUGACCCAAUUGCUUAUGAGUUGGGUUGCACGCUUCACUUUGAAUUCUACGCGUCCAGUGAGUUGUCCAGUGAACUCCCUGCCACAGAACUUUCAACCCAAGGCUUACAGAUCAUUCAUUUGCCUGACAUCAAUACUCGCGUAGAGACUGAUCUAGAGCUUUUAAGCAAUUUAGUUGCAGAAUACAAAGUACCUACCAGUUUAAGAUUUUCUCUAUUGACAAGAUUGCGGUUUGCAAGGGCUUUUGGCUCUAUAGCUUCUCGGCAGCAGUAUACCUGCAUUCGAUUGUAUGCCUUCAUAGUUCUUGUGCAAGCAAGUGGUGAUGCAGAUGACCUAGUUUCUUUCUUUAAUACUGAGCCCGAGUUUGUCAAUGAGUUAGUGUCGUUGUUAAGCUAUGAAGAUGCAGUUCCUGAGAAAAUUCGGAUUUUGUGUCUGCUUUCUUUGGUUGCUCUUUGUCAAGAUAGGUCUCGCCAGCCUUCUGUCUUGACUGCUGUCACAUCUGGUGGUCACCGUGGCAUCCUAUCCAGCCUCAUGCAGAAGGCCAUUGAUUCUGUAAUCAGUGAUGCUUCAAAGUGGUCUGUAGUUUUUGCUGAGGCGCUUUUAUCUCUUGUCACUGUUUUGGUUUCGUCAUCUUCAGGUUGCUCAGCCAUGCGCGAGGCAGGAUUUAUUCCUACUCUCCUACCUCUCCUUAAAGAUACAAAUCCACAACACUUGCAUUUGGUAAGCACAGCUGUGCAUAUUCUAGAAGCUUUUAUGGAUUACAGUAAUCCAGCCGCUGCCUUGUUCAGAGACUUGGGCGGUUUGGAUGAUACCGUUUCUCGUCUGAAGGUGGAAGUGUCACAUAUAGAAAAUGGUUCAAAGCAACAAGGUGAAAGUUCUGAUUGUAGUGGGAGGAGUAAGGAAGUAAUUGCAGGCGCCUCAAGUGAGCUAGAUGACAUGCAGCCUCUAUAUUCUGAAGCAUUAGUUUCGUAUCACCGGCGAUUGCUGAUGAAAGCUCUACUGCGUGCUAUAUCCCUUGGAACUUAUGCCCCCGGAAAUACUGCACGUGUUUAUGGCACCGAGGAGAGUUUACCGUAUUGCUUAUGCGUAAUUUUUAGGAGGGCAAAAGAUUUUGGUGGUGGGGUGUUUUCACUUGCAGCUACUGUCAUGAGUGAUUUGAUUCACAAAGAUCCCACUUGUUUUCCUGUCUUAGACGCAGCAGGUCUUCCUUCUGCCUUCUUGGAUGCUAUAAUGGAUGGUGUUCUCUGCUCUUCUGAAGCCAUAUCAUGCAUACCUCAGUGUUUGGAUGCUUUGUGCCUAAACAACAAUGGUCUUCAGGCCGUUAGAGACCGCAAUGCUCUGAGGUGCUUUGUGAAAAUAUUUACUUCAAGAACUUAUUUGCGUGCACUUACUAGUGAUACCCCAGUAUCCUUGUCUAGUGGACUGGAUGAACUAAUGCGCCACGCUUCCUCAUUGCGUGGGCUUGGAGUGGAUAUGUUGAUCGAGAUCUUAAAUGCCAUUUUGAGAAUGGGAUCUGGUAUCGAUUCUUCUUGCUUGUCCACUGAUCCUUUGUGCUCCUCUACCCCCGUUCCCAUGGAAACUGAUGGUGAAGAGAGGAACUUGAUUCUUUCAGAUGAUAGGGAAGCAUCCAAGAUGGAAAAUUCAGAGCAGACCUCUGAGCAAUCUGCUGAUUCCUCAACAGUUAAUAUUGAGUCAUUCCUCACUGACUGUGUGAGCAAUGCUGCUCGUCUUCUUGAAACAAUUCUUCAGAAUGCUGAUACGUGUCGUAUAUUUGUAGAGAAAAAGGGGAUUGAAGCUGUUCUGCAGUUGUUCACUUUGCCUUUAAUGCCUCUUUCAGUCUCAGUUGGUCAGAGUAUCUCCGUCGCCUUUAAGAACUUCUCACCACAGCAUUCUGCUUCUCUUGCUCGGGCAGUUUGUUCAUUUCUGAGAGAACAUCUGAAAUCAACAAAUGAACUCUUAGUUUCAGUUGGAGGGACUCAGCUUGCUGUGGUUGAAUCUGCACUGCAAACAAAGGUUUUGAGAAAUCUUUCCAGUCUUGAAGGCAUUCUGUCUCUUUCUAAUUUUUUAUUGAAGGGGACUACUAGUGUGGUCUCAGAGCUUGGCAAUGCAGAUGCUGAUGUGUUGAAGGAUCUUGGGUGCACAUACAGGGAAAUAAUCUGGCAAAUUUCUUUGUGUAACGAUUCCAAAGUGGAUGAGAAGAGGAAUGCUGAUCAAGAACCUGAGAGUUCAGAGGCAGCUCCAUCAAAUGCUGUUGGAAGAGAGAGUGAUGAUGAUGCAAAUACUCCAAUGGUGAGAUACAUGAACCCUGUUUCUGUCAGGAAUGGUUCUCAGUCCUUGUGGGCUGGAGACCGGGAGUUUCUGUCAGUAGUUCGUUCUGGAGAAGGUUUGCACCGUCGUAGUCGACAUGGGUUGACACGCCUAAGGGGAAGGACAGGCAGGCACGUGGAGGCUUUGAACAUUGACUCUGAAGUUCUGUCCAAUGUACCAGAGACAUCUUCCCAGGAUUUGAAAAAGAAAAGUCCUGAUGUUCUUGUUUUGGAAAUUCUUAACAAGCUUGCUUCAAUGUUCCGCUCUUUCUUCACAGCUCUUGUCAAGGGAUUCACAUCGCCAAAUCGUCGUAGAGUUGACUCAGGGUCGUUGAGUUCAGCUUCGAAGACCCUUGGAACUGGCCUGGCAAAGGUAUUUCUUGAGGCUCUUAGUUUCUCUGGGUAUUCUACUUCUGUGGGGCUUGACAUGUCAUUGUCAGUAAAAUGUCGAUAUCUUGGAAAGGUAGUGGAUGACAUGGCAUCCAUAACAUUUGACAGCAGGCGACGUACUUGUUAUACUGCAAUGGUUAAUAAUUUUUAUGUUCAUGGUACCUUUAAGGAGCUACUGACGACAUUUGAAGCAACAAGUCAGUUGCUGUGGACACUGCCAUACUCUAUCCCAACAUCAGGCAUUGAUCAAGAAAAGGCAGGUGAAGGAAGUAAAUUGUCUCACAGUACAUGGCUGCUUGAUACAUUGCAGAGUUAUUGCCGUGUGCUCGAGUAUUUUGUUAAUUCUUCUUUACUUCUAUCUCCGAGCUCUGCAUCCCAAGUGCAGCUUCUAGUGCAGUCGGUUGCAGUUGGUCUUUCAAUUGGGCUAUUUCCUGUUCCAAGGGACCCAGAAGUCUUUGUUCGUAUGCUGCAAUCUCAGGUUCUUGAUGUGAUACUUCCUGUUUGGAACCACCCCAUGUUUCCCAAUUGUAGUCUGGGUUUCGUUGCUUCCAUUCUUUCACUUGUUACACAUGUGUACUCUGGUGUUGGAGAUGUGAAACGAAAUCGAAGUGGCGUUGCGGGGACUGCAAACCAGAGAUUUAUGCCCCCACCUCCUGAUGAAACUACUAUUGGCACCAUUGUUGAGAUGGGCUUUACAAGGGCAAGAGCAGAGGAAGCACUGAGGCGAGUGGAAACAAAUAGCGUUGAGAUGGCCAUGGAAUGGUUGUGUAGUCAUGCUGAGGAUCCUGUACAGGAGGAUGAUGAACUAGCUCGGGCACUUGCUCUGUCGCUGGGGAGUUCGUCAGAAACAUCUAAAGUUGAUACUGUUGACAAGUCGAUGGAUGUCCUGACAGAAGAUGGGCAUAUGAAGGCACCCCCUGUGGAUGAUAUUCUUGCUUCGUCAGUGAAAAUUUUUCAGAGCAGUGACACAAUGGCAUUCCCGUUGACAGAUUUGUUUGUUACACUUUGCAAUCGGAACAAAGGAGAAGACCGUCCAAGAGUGGCAUCUUAUCUUAUUCAGCAGCUAAAGCUUUGCCCUUUGGAUUUUUCUAAGGAUACGAGUGCAUUAAGUAUGCUAUCACAUAUUAUAGCAUUGCUUCUUUUUGAGGAUGGAAGUACACGGGAAAUUGCUGCAGAGAAUGGUAUUGUAUCUACUGCAAUAGAUAUUUUGACCCACUUUAAGGCUAGAAAUGAGUCAGGGAAUGAGCUUCUGGUCCCAAGGUGCAUUAGUGCUUUACUGCUUAUCUUGGAUAACAUGUUGCAGUCCAGACCCAAAAAUUUUUCUGAGAGUCUGGAAGGAACUCCAGCAGGGUCUCAGCUGGAUUCGUCAGGAGAUCAUGCUUCCUUUUCAGAUCCUGCAUCAGUUCAUGAAAGAAAACCAGUUUCAGAUGUCCAUGAGAAAGAAUCUGGUGCACCAUUUGAAAAAUUAUUGGGGAAAUCGACUGGCUAUUUGACUGUUGAAGAGAGUCAUAAGGUGCUACUAGUGGCUUGUGACUUGAUAAAACAGCAUGUGCCAGCAGUGAUAAUGCAGGCUCUUCUGCAAUUAUGUGCUCGCUUGACGAAAACACAUUCACUAGCUUUGCAGUUCCUUGAAAAUGGAGGUUUGGCUGCUCUUUUUAGUCUUCCAAGAAGUUGUUUUUUCCCUGGAUAUGACACUGUUGCAUCUGCUAUUGUCCGGCAUCUCCUUGAAGAUCCUCAGACACUGCAAACAGCUAUGGAGUUGGAGAUACGACAAACUUUGAGUGGAAAUAGCCAUGCUGGGCGUGUUUCUGCACGAUCUUUUUUGACAUCAAUGGCACCUGUUAUCUCUAGGGAUUCUGUGGUUUUCAUGAAAGCUGCUGGUGCUGUUUGCCAGUUGGAGACAUCUGGAGGUAGGUCCUUUAUUGUGUUAGCCAAGGAAAAAGAGAAGGAAAAAGACAAAUCAAAGGCAUCUGGUGUUGAAACUGGAUUAUCUUCCAAUGAAUGUGUCCGGAUUUCUGAAAAUAAGAUUCAUGAUGGAUCAGGUAAAUGCUCCAAAGGCCACAAAAAGAUCCCUGCCAAUCUCACUCAAGUAAUUGAUCAACUUCUUGAUAUAGUCUUGAAAUACCCUUCACCAAAAAGCCUAGAAGUUGGUGUGAAUAAUUUAUCUUCUAUGGAGGUUGAUGAACCCGCUACGAAGGUAAAGGGUAAAUCAAAGGUUGAUGAGACGAUGAAAUUAGAGUCUGAAUCUGAAAGAUCUGCAGGACUUGCUAAGGUAACUUUUGUCCUCAAGUUGUUAAGUGAUGUUCUUCUGAUGUAUGUACAUGCAGUUGGGGUUAUACUUAAACGGGAUCUAGAAAUGUGUCAACUCCGGGGAUCUAAUCCAUCAGAUAGUCCUGGAAAUGGUGGUGGAAUACUUCAUCAUGUUUUACAUCGGUUACUUCCACUCUCUAUUGAUAAAUCUGCAGGACCUGAUGAAUGGAGAGGCAAGUUGUCUGAAAAGGCUUCCUGGUUCCUCGUUGUUCUGUGUGGUCGUUCUGGUGAAGGCCGUAGACGAGUAAUUAAUGAACUUGUGAAAGCCUUAUUCUCAUUUUCAAACUUAGAGAGCAAUUCUACUACGAGCAUUUUGUUGCCAGAUAAGAAGGUUUUUGCUUUUGUUGAAUUGGCAUAUUCUAUUUUGUUGAAAAAUUCAUCCUCCAGCAACUUACCUGGUGGUUCAGGGUGCUCACCAGACAUAGCAAAAAUCAUGAUAGAUGGAGGAAUGGUUCGGUGCCUAACUAGCAUUCUUCAAGUGAUUGAUUUGGACCAUCCUGAUGCUCCUAAAAUUGUGAAUCUUAUACUUAAGUCUUUGGAAAGUUUAACAAGGGCUGCCAAUGCUAGUGAGCAAAUUUUUAAAUCUGAUGGGAUGAACAAGAAAAAAUCCAUGGGGUUAAGUGGAAGACCCGAUGAUCAGUUAACUGCACCAUUGGCUGUUCAGACCAUGGAGCAUAAUCAGACUACAAACGAACAGGAGGAACUCAGAGAUGCAGAGGGGAAUGAACAACAGGAUCAUGGAAAUUCUCAAAGUGAAGAUAAUCAUAAUGCAAAUCCUAAUGAAUCUGUGGAGCAAGAUAUGAGAAUUGAAGUGGAGGGGACAAUGGCUACCAACCCACCUGUGGCGCUUGGGAUGGAUUUCAUGCGCGAGGAGAUGGAAGAGGGUGGUGUUUUGCACAACACUGACCAAAUUGAGAUGAAUUUCCGUGUUGAGAAUAGGGGAGAUGAUGAUAUGGGUGAUGAAGAUGAUGACAUGGGUGAUGACGGCGAGGAUGAUGAGGAUGAUGAUGAGGGGGAGGAUGAGGAUGAGGAUAUAGCGGAAGAUGGUGGUGGCAUGAUGUCUCUUGCUGAUACAGAUGUGGAAGACCAUGAUGAUACGGGCUUGGGAGAUGACUAUAAUGAUGAGAUGAUUGAUGAAGAGGAUGAUGAUUUUCAUGAAAAUCGUGUCAUAGAGGUAAGAUGGAGGGAAGCCCUUGAUGGGUUAGAUCAUUUGCAGGUACUUGGGCAACCUGGGACUGCAGGUGGUUUAAUUGAUGUUGCAGCUGAACCUUUUGAAGGAGUUAAUGUGGAUGACCUUUUUGGUCUUCGUAGGCCCUUAGGUUUUGAACGCCGUCGUCAGACAGGUAGGUCUUCCUUUGAGCGAUCUGUUGCGGAAGUAAAUGGUUUUCAACAUCCUCUCCUUUUAAGACCAUCCCAGUCAGGGGAUCUGGCCUCAAUGAGGUCAUCAGGUGGGAAUUCCAGAGAUGUGGAAGCUUUUUUGUCAUCUGGGAGUUCUGAUGCAGCUCAUUUCUACAUGUUUGAUGCUCCUGUUCCUCCAUAUGAUCAUGUCCUAAGGAGUCUCUUUGGUGACCGUUUGGUUGGGGCAGCACCCCCACCUUUGACUGAUUAUUCUGUAGGUAUGGACUCCUUGCAGUUACCUGGACGAAGAGGGCCUGGUGAUGGUCGGUGGACUGAUGAUGGUCAACCACAAGCUGUUGCUCAAGCUGCUGCUAUUGCACAGGCAGUAGAGGAACAGUUCAUUUCUCAAUUGCGCAGUAUUGCCCCUGCAAACAGUCCUGCUGAAAGACAGUCCCAAAAUUCAGGAGUGCAGGAGAAACAACCAGAUGCCCUUCAAUCCAAUGAUAGUCCAGUAGCGGCAGAGGGUGCUAACACCCACAGUCAACAAAGUGAAGGGCAACAUCAAGAGAAUGGUGAUGAAACCACCCAUCAAGAAGUUAACACAAUGGUUGAUAGUGUAACCUGUGGAGAACAAGUUACUCCAGAAUCCAUUCUUGAACAUCCAGGCGAAUGUUUACAGGCACAUGAACCUAUGACAAUCCAACCAUUUUCACUGAACACUACACCAAAUGGGAAUGAUAGCAUGGAAAUUGGUGAAGGAAAUGACACUGCUGAUGAGCUGGUAGGGACAAUGCCAGGGUUUGUCAACUCAUCUUCAGACUUUCAAGCUGAUCUACAAUGUGAUGGGGGUUCUGAAGCACAUGCAAGUCUCCAUGAUGUGCCAGUUCAGGCCACUGGUAGUGGUGGAUCUUCAGGAACAGAUGACCAGGCCAGUAAUCUAGGUCUGGCAAUUUCUGGUUUGCAGACACCUAAUCUAGAUGAUUUUCAUGCAGCUUCUGUUCGUGCAAGUGUUGAUGUUGAUAUGAAUAGUACUGAUGCUGAAGGAAAUCAAUCUGAGCAACCUGUGCCUGCCUCUGAAUAUGGUACAGACGAGCCAUCAUCAAGGCAAAACACACUGGUUACUCUGGACGCUGAUCAGGCUGAGCAAACUAGUAUGAAUAAUGAGGUGUCUGGUGCUAAUGCUAUUGAUCCCACCUUCUUGGAAGCACUACCUGAAGAUCUUCGGGCAGAAGUACUAGCUUCCCAGCAAGCUCAGUCUGUUCAAGCUCCGACUUAUGCACCACCUUCAGCUGAAGAUAUUGAUCCGGAGUUUUUAGCUGCUCUUCCUCCAGAUAUUCAAGCAGAAGUUUUGGCCCAACAAAGAGCUCAGAGGGUUGCGCAGCAGGCUGAAGGACAACCAGUUGACAUGGAUAAUGCUUCAAUCAUUGCUACUUUUCCUGCUGAUUUGCGUGAAGAGGUACUUCUGACUUCAUCAGAAGCAGUUCUGUCUGCAUUGCCCUCUCCAUUACUAGCUGAAGCACAAAUGCUAAGGGACCGAGCAAUGAGUCAUUAUCAGGCUCGCAGCCUUUUUGCAGGCAGCCACAGGUUGAAUAAUCGGAGGAAUGGGUUUGGUUUUGACAGACAGACGGUAAUGGACAGGGGUGUUGGAGUUACAAUAGGCCGGAGGACAGGUUCUACCAUUGCAGAUAGCUUGAAGGUGAAGGAAAUUGAAGGUGAGCCACUUUUGGACGCAAAUGCGUUGAAAGCUUUGGUUCGGCUCCUGCGGUUAGCUCAGCCCCUUGGCAAAGGCCUCUUGCAGAGACUCUUGUUAAACCUAUGUGCACAUAGUGUUACAAGGGCAAUUCUAGUGCGUCUUUUGCUUGAUAUGAUGAAGCCUGAGGCUGAAGGUUCAGUCGGUGGAUUGGCAACAAUUAACUCCCAGAGGCUUUAUGGUUGUCAAUCAAAUGUUGUUUAUGGUCGAUCCCAGUUGUUGGAUGGUCUUCCUCCACUGGUCUUGCGUCGAGCUUUUGAGAUUUUGACAUAUUUGGCUACUAAUCAUUCUGCUGUUGCCAAUAUGUUAUUCUACUUUGAUCCCUUACUUGUUCCAGAGCCUCUAAGUCCUAUAUGUAUGGAAAGCAAGAAGGAUAAAGGCAAGGAGAAAAUUGUGGAAGGAGGAUUUGCAUCAAAACCUUUGGGGAACUCUCUGGAUGUGGAUGUUCCGUUGAUACUGUUCCUGAAGCUUUUGAAUCGACCGCUUUUUCUGCGCAGCACUGCUCACCUUGAGCAGGUCAUGAGUCUACUUCAAGUAGUUGUUUAUACUGCUGCAUCAAAUUUAGAGUACCAGCCUCAAUCUGAACCAGCAACAGCGAAUUCUCAGGAUUUGCCAGUCAAUGAAGCUUCUGGUGACGUCCAAAAAGAUACUCCUUCAACGGAACCAGAGUCUAAGCAAGAGGAUAAACAUGCCAGUGCUGAGUCAUCCACUUCAGAUGGAAAGAGGAGCAUUGAUACAUAUAAUAUCUUUUUACGAUUGCCCCAAUCAGAACUUCGCAAUCUGUGCUGCAUUCUUGGUCGUGAGGGGCUUUCAGAUAAAGUUUAUAUGCUUUCCGGUGAGGUGCUGAAGAAGUUGGCCUCAGUUGUUGCACCCCAUCGUAUGUUAUUUACUUCAGAGCUCUCUGAAUUAUCCCGUGGAUUGAGCAGUUCGGCUGUCGAUGAGCUUGUCACUCUGCGGAAAACACACAUGCUAGGUUUAAGUGCUGGUUCCAUGGCUGGUGCAGCAAUCCUACGUGUACUACAAGCACUUAGUACACUCACUUCACCUAGCAUAAAUGAGAGUACAGGACUUGAGAGUGAUGGGGAGCAGGAGCAGGAGGAGCAAGCUACUAUGAAAAAGCUGCAUGUCGCACUUGAGCCAUUGUGGCAAGAAUUGAGCGACUGUAUAAGUGUGACUGAGACACAGCUGGGUCAAAGCUCCUCUCAUACCAUGCCAAAUGUAAAUGUUGGGGAGCAUAUCCAGGGGACCUCUUCUUCAUCUCCUCUUCCUCCUGGGACCCAGAGACUCUUGCCCUUCAUUGAGGCUUUCUUUGUUUUGAGUGAAAAGCUACAAGCAAACCAGUCUAUUAUGCAGCAAGAUCAUGCCAAUAUAACUGCAAGAGAAGUCAAUGAAUCUUCUGGGAGUUCAGCCUCUUUAAUCACAAAGUGCAGUGUGGAUUCUCAGAAGAAGCUUGAUGGUGCCAUCACAUUUACAAGGUUUGCUGAGAAGCACCGACGGCUUUUGAAUGCUUUUAUUAGACAGAAUCCAGGUUUAUUGGAGAAAUCACUUUCAAUGCUGCUGAAGGCACCAAGGCUGAUUGAUUUUGACAAUAAGCGAGCAUAUUUCCGUUCAAGAAUUAGGCAGCAGCAUGAGCAGCAUCUCUCUGGCCCAUUGCGGAUAAGUGUGCGGAGGGCUUACGUUUUGGAGGACUCAUACAAUCAGUUGCGGAUGCGUCCCACUCUGGAUCUAAAGGGACGAUUGAAUGUGCAAUUUCAAGGUGAAGAGGGUAUUGAUGCUGGAGGUCUGACAAGAGAAUGGUAUCAAUUACUGUCAAGGGUUAUAUUUGACAAGGGGGCAUUACUUUUCACUACUGUGGGAAACAAUGCAACGUUCCAGCCAAACCCCAAUUCUGUUUACCAGACAGAACAUCUUUCCUACUUCAAGUUCGUGGGCCGAGUGGUUGCAAAGGCAUUGUUUGAUGGGCAGCUUCUGGAUGUCUAUUUUACUCGAUCAUUCUACAAGCACAUACUUGGUGCCAAGGUGACUUACCAUGAUAUAGAGGCUGUUGAUCCUGAUUACUACAAGAAUUUAAAGUGGAUGUUGGAGAAUGAUGUGAAUGACAUUCCUGACCUGACAUUUAGCAUGGAUGCGGAUGAGGAAAAGCAUAUCCUUUACGGAAAAAACGAGGUUACUGAUUAUGAGCUUAAACCCGGGGGAAGAAAUAUAAGGGUUACAGAAGAAACAAAGCAUGAGUAUGUUGACCUUGUUGCUGGACACAUCUUGACAAAUGCUAUCCGUCCUCAAAUUAAUUCCUUUUUAGAAGGCUUCACUGAAUUGGUACCACGAGAACUUAUCUCUAUUUUCAAUGAUAAAGAGCUUGAGCUACUUAUAAGUGGACUUCCAGAAAUUGAUUUGGAGGAUUUGAAGGCCAACGCAGAGUAUACUGGCUAUACAGCAGCAUCUAGUGUUAUUCAAUGGUUUUGGGAGGUUGUUACGGCUUUCAGCAAGGAAGAUAUGGCAAGACUACUGCAAUUUGUCACUGGAACUUCGAAGGUUCCUUUGGAGGGUUUCAAGGCUUUGCAAGGUAUUUCUGGUCCUCAAAGGUUUCAGAUUCACAAGGCAUAUGGAGCUCCUGACCGGCUGCCCUCGGCUCAUACAUGCUUUAAUCAGCUUGACCUUCCCGAGUAUACCUCAAAGGAACAGCUUCAAGAACGCCUGCUGCUUGCUAUCCAUGAAGCCAAUGAAGGGUUUGGCUUUGGUUGACCCUAAGUUUAACGUGAUAUUGUGGCCCCCGCAGUGCCAGCAAUCUGCCUUUAAAAUUGCCAUGUACAUGUAAAAGAGACUGCCCCAGGUGGACAAUAAAAUUCAGGAGAUGGAAGGCCAGGAGCUUUCUUGAAAGCUUUUUUUUUUUUUUCCUCUCUCUUUCUCUCAUUGAGGCUGGCAAUCAGUUAUUAUUAUUUUUAUUAUUAUCAAUUCAACAGAUGAUAAUUAUGCUUUUGCGGAAUGGUGGGCUGCUCAGCAAGAAUUGGCUAGAAAAUGUUAAUUCUUUGGAUUCUUGCCUAGUGGGGAAGUGUACAAAAUGUUGAUGGACAUAUAUUUUCAUUGUUCAUAGUAGGUUUUUUGUUGAUAGAGUAUUUAGCCUCGAGCUUUAUCCUUUAUAGAGCCUUAUAAAUUAGUUUCUGUAACCACAUAGCAGGGUAUGUAUUAUGUAUAUUUAAUGACGUAAAUUGUAGACAGGUUCUCUCUUCUCUUC